ensembl:lncRNA
CGCUUACUGCCUGUUAGGCAAGCCCUCUACCGAAAGGCUCCCCUCACAGAAGACAUUCCUGAGGACUACUAGGUUGGCAGGAUGACUCUCUGAGUGAUAGCCAUGUUAUCCUGGAUAUCAUUCUCCCGUGAGUUCUAGACGUCUCCCUGCACCAUAUACACCAACCAGGACCUGAGGUGAAGACUCAGGGCAGAGAUCCUAAGGAGUAGAAAGAAGGACAGAAGUUGGUGUCAGGGUGGGGUGGAGAAUGUCCAGUCAAUUCACUAUGUUUUGUGAAUAACUGAACUGCAUCUUCCAGCAUCUUUGGAGACUAUGUGCAAAGUUCUUUUCACAUUUAUUCAUUCCUGGCCUCAUCCACUAACUACCUCCCUUCAAGGCUGAAUAUAUUGAAAUGUAUGUCUUAGUCUUCUACUGCAGAGAGAAGACUCCAUGAUGAAGGUGACAUAUAAAAGAAA